AACGAACGCUGGCGGCGUGCCUAAUACAUGCAAGUCGAACGGUCUUUUCUAUGGAAGCUUGCUUCCGCUGAGAAGAUAGUGGCGAACGGGUGAGUAACACGUGGGUAACCUGCCCAUAAGAGGGGGAUAACAUCCGGAAACGGGUGCUAAUACCGCAUAGUUUUCUUGAUCGCAUGAUUGAGAAAGGAAAGACGGCCUUUGUGCUGUCGCUUAUGGAUGGACCCGCGGCGUAUUAGUUAGUUGGUGAGGUAACGGCUCACCAAGACGAUGAUACGUAGCCGACCUGAGAGGGUGAUCGGCCACAUGGGGACUGAGACACGGCCCAAACUCCUACGGGAGGCAGCAGUAGGGAAUCUUCCGCAAUGGACGAAAGUCUAACGGAGCAACGCCGCGUGAGUGAAGAAGGUUUUCGGAUCGUAAAACUCUGUUGUCAGAGAAGAACAAGUCGGAGAGUAACUGCUCCGGCCUUGACGGUAUCUGACCAGAAAGCCACGGCUAACUACGUGCCAGCCGCCGCCGUAAGAC
rnacentral:rRNA from 1 species